rnacentral:misc_RNA from 1 species
UGAGCAGCACAUCAAGAACCUUCUGACCCCGGCUACACCACAUUUCUUCAAUACCUUGUACGAUCCCUACCGUGAGGGCGCUGACUUCGUCCGUGGAUAUCCGUUUAGUCUCCGGGAGGGUGUUCCGACCGCAGUGUCUCAUGGCCUGUGGCUCAACAUCCCGGAUUAUGAUGCACCCACCCAGCUCGUGAAGCCUCUGGAGAGAAAUAAGAGGUAUGUAGAUGCAGUCUUGACA